rnacentral:rRNA from 1 species
AUGUUGGCUUAGAAGCAGCCACCAUUUAAAGAGUGCGUAAUAGCUCACUAGUCGAGUGACCCUGCGCCGAAAAUGUACCGGGGCUAAACAUAGUACCGAAGCUGUGGACUACACCAUUAGGUGUAGUGGUAGGAGAGCGUUCUAAGGGCGUUGAACGUCGAUCGUGAGGACGGCUGCAACGCUUAGAAGUGAGAAUGCCGGUAUGAGUAGCGAAAGACAGGUGAGAAUCCUGUCCACCGUAUGACUAAGGUUGACUGGGGAAGGCUCGUCCGCCCAGG